rnacentral:misc_RNA from 1 species
GGAGUACUUGAGUUUCCAAGUGAGGGGUGUCGCUAGAGAACUUGUAGAUGGGUUUGAUCUACCGGAUCUCAUCACUCGUGCGCCUAUUGGUAUGCCAUCCGACGCAUACGUCCACUAUACACAAUUUGUGGGAAUAUAGUCUGUUGGAUGAGCAGACAACCCAAAUACUCAUUUACAAUGAAUACAGAAGCAAACAUAAGGUCAGCAGCAGCAUGUUCUAAGCUAGGGUACAUUUUCUGUGCUCCGUGUAUAUCCUUAAAGCUGGAGUAAAGCUGAUGCUAAAGUAGAAAUAAGGCAUAUAAACACAUUUGUCUUGA